rnacentral:rRNA from 1 species
UACGGAGGGGGGCUAGCGUUGUUCGGAAUUACUGGGCGUAAAGCGCACGUAGGCGGCUUUGCAAGUUAGAGGUGAAAAGCCCGGGGCUCAACUCCGGAAUUGCCUUUAAAACUGCAUCGCUAGAAUUGUGGAGAGGUAAGUGGAAUUCCGAGUGUAGAGGUGAAAUUCGUAGAUAUUCGCAAGAACACCAGUGGCGAAGGCGGCUCACUGGCCCGGUACUGACGCUGAGGCACGAAAGCGUGGGGAGCAAACAG